CCCCCCUUGAUCAACAGGGCCGUGCUGGAGACCUUCUUCCAUGUUCCCAAAAUCAACUGGAAGAGGCGGCCAAGACCACAGGGAGAAAAUGGCCAUUUAUCUAUUGACCAAUGCAGACUCGUGGCUUACUGUGUAGUGCUGGAGUGGGCACUCAGAGGAGAGCGUCUUGGUCGUGGGAAUAGGAGAGUGCUGCAUUGUUGUGGCUAUAAGAAACAAGUACCCCUCUCCAACUGGCACUUACGCUGGUUUCAACGACAGAGAAAUAGCUGACGAGAAGCAGCUGAAACCGGUCAUGCAAUCAGUCACCUCCGGCAGAGUCUGAGCAGCUGACAAGCAUUCUCCUGAUUACACACCGACCAUAAAACUCCGGCUCUUCCAGCAACACUCUGCCAGAUCGAUAGACUCGACAUACACAACCCGCUGCUCAGACUCCUGCCAUCUCCUUCUCCCCGGUUUCCCUCCUGGACCCAGUCAUUCCCCGAAAUCAUCUCUCAGCGUCUGAGUUCUCCAGUCCGCCCUGUCUACAGCCCAACCCUCAUUCCCUGCCUUACUCCUGCCACCAGGGAUCCUCAGACCGCCCGGCGCCGCACUCUGUCUCCCCUCCCCGAACCAGCCGCCACCGAUCCCCGGUAGGAACGUCGCCCACCCGGCACCACUCCUCAUCCUCCCCUGACAAGACUCCGGCUCCCCGUCCACCAGAUCUUCUCUCCCUGCAAUAAAUCAUUCAUAGAAACUGCAUCUUGGCCUUGGUGGUAGUUCUCUGCUCAAGUCCGGUCCUGAUUGUGUGACAGUUAUACUUCACUGUAAAAAUCAAUCAUCUAAAAUAAAUUAUUUUUAGAACUACUGUUU